UACGUAGGGGGCAAGCGUUGUCCGGAAUCAUUGGGCGUAAAGCGCGUGUAGGCGGCCCGGUAAGUCCGCUGUGAAAGUCGGGGGCUCAACCCUCGGAUGCCGGUGGAUACUGUCGGGCUAGAGUGCGGGAGAGGCGAGUGGAAUUCCUGGUGUAGCGGUGAAAUGCGCAGAUAUCAGGAGGAACACCAAUUGCGAAGGCAGGUCACUGGGCCGCAACUGACGCUGAGGAGCGAAAGCAUGGGGAGCGAACAGG
rnacentral:rRNA from 1 species